UCGGGUUGCGUAUUGAGUUGGGUAUCGGGUUGCGUAUCGGGUUGCGUAUCGGGUUGGGUAUCGGGUUGCGUAUCGAGUUGCGUAUCGGGUUGGGUAUCGGGUUGCGUAUCGAGUUGCGUAUCGAGUUGCGUAUCGGGUUGCGUAUUGAGUUGGGUAUCGGGUUGCGUAUCGAGUUGCGUAUCGGGUUGGGUAUUGGGUUGCGUGUCGGGUUGCGUGUCGGGCUGCGUGUCGGGCUGCGUGACGGUUGCGUAUCGUCACCGGACCUUCGCGGUGGUCUCCUUCGUCUUCGAUGCAGUGCUUAGUAUUCAGUUAUGCUUUUAGGUCAUGUUGUCUUGUUACCGCACUGCUGUGUCUAAUGAGCCCUUCCUGUUGUUGUUGUUGAUGAUGUGUGUGUGUGUGUUUGUACUGUAUGUGUGUCUGUUUCCCCACAGUCGAGCUCCACAUAAAUAACCCAAUAGUCCCGAUCACAUUACUGCCUGAAAGAUGGUUAGACUGACAGAAAGAGAGAGACGGGGGGGGGGGACCAUUGGUAAAGGCCCACUUUGUGUGGACACAGCGUUUUGUUUCACACAACAAUUCUUUGAGGGGAACCAACCCCCCCCCCCCUGCACAUUUCAAUCUGCACACAGCUACAUACGGAGGACGGAUGGAUCAAACAGCCCGCAAACGAGGUCUUGUGUGUAUUAGGAAGCGGGUGGGAGUGCGUGCAUGGAUGCACUCAUGUGUAGGGAUGCACAUCUCUAUGUGUGUGUGUGUGUGUGUGUGUGUGAGAGAGAGCGACAGCGUCUUAUUAUGAAAGAGUAAUGCAGAUGGAUGAAUAAAUAAAAGAUCUGGGAAACCCAUCAGCAUCGAGCACUCGGUUGUCAUGGCAAUGCGAGCAGCACAGCACAGUAUGUGCGUGUGUUUAAUGUGUUGCGAGUGAGAGAGAUCGACAUCGCACAACUGCAGUGUUUAGGUAUGUAAACAAGAGAUUCGCACUGAUGAAGAAGCGUACGGAACGCGGUUUGUUUCAGUUCGUCCUGCUCGGCCCAUGAACACACUCGUGCGUGAAGUUGCUUUUAAAUAGAGUCAACGUGACGUCUUGUAGGUGCGUCUUUGCCUGUUUGCAGCCCGUCUCUGCGUGUGAGUACGGUGACCGAAGCUUAAUUAAUGUUGGAAAAAAAAGUGCAUGAAAGUGCACGUGGAAAGUUUCAUGAAAGCUGCUUCAAACAGUGGCAAUGCGAUGUAUGCUGCUCUGUGAGAGAGAGAGAGGACUGGAAGAGGCUCUUACUAGAAACUCUACCUGGUUACUAGGCAACAGAAUGGCACUGCUGCACAUCGGAGCAUGGGGGGGGCAAUCUGUGUGUGAGGGUCCUCGUUCAACUGCUGAGUCAAUAACUAUAUUAUUUAUUGUUUAUAUUAUUUAUUAUUUAUGUGUGUGCGAGAGCCUACCAAUGUUCCUGCAGCAGCUCAGAAGGCGGAGUCAACCUGGCGGUCCCGCUGGACGCCGGGCGGCCGCUCACGCUCAUUUUUUUGCGGGUGACCUCGCGAACAGAGCGCACAGCGAGCGCCGCCGCCGCCGCCGCGGCUCAACCCCCGGGUUCUUCUUCCCUCUGCUUCCGUCUCGCUCGCUCUCUCUCGGCCCGCGUCGGAAUCGGCGGGAAUUACGUAAGCGGGGGGCCCGAGAGACGCUUUUUUUGUUAGAGCUUUUAUUACGACGACUGCAUCCGUUUAGUUUUCCUCGGCCUCAGCUUUAGCUCACAAUGAGUGAGGAAAUCAGGUCCAAGUACGGCCGACAGGUCCCACAUCAAAAAAACCCCAAACAAUCCUUGUGAACGACCCGCUGACCUCCGGACCAAAGCUGGUUCAGUGUGUGUGAACUCAUUAAGGGCACCCACUCUCACAGGCAGCGGGUCAAUGCAGACGGAUCCAUCCUCCUCACAUCGAAAAGCAUUUUUCAUUUGCUGCUGUGUGUGUGUGUGUGUGUGUGUGACAGACUGCUGUUUAAUGUCCAUUAGGCUGUAAUGAAGGAACGCCGCUCUCACCGGUCCCCUCGCUGCUUUCUAAUGGGCCUCUAUUAUCACGGUUCAAAGCGCACACACACACACACACACUCAUCUCUUUGAGAUGAAAGGGCAUCAUGAAGCAGGUGACCUAGCU
ensembl:lncRNA